CCGUGUUGCCAGAUCUGAGGGGAGGUGCAGCUAAGAGGUUUGAUGCCAAUCUCCUGACUCCGGUUGAGUUCCUGCACUGCACUCACCACCACAUGGACCGCAUCAAACAGCAGGGCCGACGACAGCUAACACACAGACACAGAGGUUAGGCUCGAAGGAAACCAGACAAGCUGAUGAGCAGAGCAGAGGUUUUGGACUCACAUUCGGCCUUAGCGCAGACCAGACUAGCCGAUGGGUAGCUGAAGGAGCGUAGGAUGGCUCCGAUGGCAAGGCUCAGAUCCUCGUUGCUAGGAUACAGAGUCACAGACGCAAAGCGCAGAUGUGACUGACGAUGGAGCCCGAGGCAGGACUGGAGGCGGGGCCAAUCACAGAGACCACACCUUUAGGCAGAAUCUGGCACACUACGACAAAAAUGUAGAGUAUUAUAAGGCCCCCUGAAAUCAAAAUGUUGUUUUUUUUAGCUUUUAGUAUGAAUAUGUUAACCUUUAGGUUAUGAAUAAGCCGGUGUGUUCCAAAACAUUUUUUCUCAUUUUUUUUCCGCUAAAAUGGAUCACAGAUUUUUAUGACAUCACCACAGACUUCAGCUUCUUAUCACAUCUUUUGUCCAAUCAAAUGCUCUCAAGAAUAUAAAGCGUCCCGCCUCCCUCUGCUAUAAAUACCAUCUGGCCAAAGCAACCUUUGACAUGGAGCAAUAUGGGUUGUUCAAACGCUCGAGUUUUAUUCCAUUUUCCAACUGUACGUUCGUUAAAAAUGAAAUGGCUAGAAUUUAUUCACACCUCUUCCAUUGAAUCCAACGUAUCGUCAGUACUCGGAUUCGCUUUCAUUGUGCGGUCAAGCAUGACUUGCAGUGUGUGAGGUCAAAAAUGCUAUUGGCUAUUUGAAAAGGGAGAGGAGUCAUUCAAUAUGUCCCACCUUAGCUUCCUGUUUCAAUGGAAAUUACGUCAACACAUCAUCCAAAGCAGGCAUACACAACGUUCCAAGGCACUUUAGUGGGUCUUUAAUUCCUCAAAUCCGCUCUGUUUGCUGAUGCUGUACUAUUUCACUUUAAAGUUCUUUUUUUGUUAGUGUGCAGGCGUGUGUGUGUAUUUUAUGUAUGACUCACUAGU